CCUACGGGACGCAGCAGUGGGGAAUAUUGGGCAAUGGGCGCAAGCCUGACCCAGCAACGCCGCGUGAAGGAAGAAGGCUUUCGGGUUGUAAACUUCUUUUGUCAGGGACGAAGCAAGUGACGGUACCUGACGAAUAAGCCACGGCUAACUACGUGCCAGCAGCCGCGGUAAUACGUAGGUGGCAAGCGUUAUCCGGAUUUAUUGGGUUUAAAGGGUGCGUAGGCGGAAUAUCAAGUCAGCGGUAAAAAUUCGGGGCUCAACCCCGUCGUGCCGUUGAAACUGAUGUUCUUGAGUGGGCGAGAAGU
rnacentral:rRNA from 1 species